rnacentral:rRNA from 1 species
UACUGGGCGUAAAGCGCAUGCAGGUGGUUUGUUAAGUCAGAUGUGAAAGCCCGGGGCUCAACCUCGGAAUUGCAUUUGAAACUGGCAGACUAGAGUACUGUAGAGGGGGGUAGAAUUUCAGGUGUAGCGGUGAAAUGCGUAGAGAUCUGAAGGAAUACCGGUGGCGAAGGCGGCCCCCUGGACAGAUACUGACACUCAGAUGCGAAAGCGUGGGGAGCAAACAGGAUUAGAUACCCUGGUAGUCCACGCCGUAAACGAUGUCUACUUGGAGGUUGUGGCCUUGAGCCGUGGCUUUCGGAGCUAACGCGUUAAGUAGACCGCCUGGGGAGUACGGUCGCAAGAUUAAAACUCAAAUGAAUUGACGGGGGCCCGCACAAGCGGUGGAGCAUGUGGUUUAAUUCGAUGCAACGCGAAGAACCUUACCUACUCUUGACAUCCAGAGAACUUUCCAGAGAUGGAUUGGUGCCUUCGGGAACUCUGAGACAGGUGCUGCAUGGCUGUCGUCAGCUCGUGUUGUGAAAUGUUGGGUUAAGUCCCGCAACGAGCGCAACCCUUAUCCUUGUUUGCCAGCGAGUAAUGUCGGGAACUCCAGGGAGACUGCCGGUGAUAAACCGGAGGAAGGUGGGGACGACGUCAAGUCAUCAUGGCCCUUACGAGUAGGGCUACACACGUGCUACAAUGGCGCAUACAGAGGGCAGCCAACUUGCGAAAGUGAGCGAAUCCCAAAAAGUGCGUCGUAGUCCGGAUUGGAGUCUGCAACUCGACUCCAUGAAGUCGGAAUCGCUAGUAAUCGUGGAUCAGAAUGCCACGGUGAAUACGUUCCCGGGCCUUGUACACACCGCCCGUCACACCAUGGGAGUGGGCUGCAAAAGAAGUAGGUAGUUUAACCUUCGGGGGGACGCUUACCACUUUGUGGUUCAUGACUGGGGUGAAGUCGUAACAAGGUAGCGCUAGGGGAACCUGGCGCUGGAUCACCUCCUUAAACGAUGAU